GUCACAAUAGUCAUGCAGCUUGUCCCACUAUCUGGGACUCAGGCUACAAAGCUAGACAGAAGCAGAAAGGAGCUGCUCAAUCCAGCUGGUUGUGGGUAUCUGAAAUACGCAGCGGCGAGGUUGGGGCACCCGUAACUGAAGCCUGUCUGCCACACAGGGCCGAGUGUCCUGACAGCACCGUGUUAGCCCCUGCCUGCCCUGCUCCUUCAGAAGUGACCAUCAGUCCUGCCGUGGCUACCAUAGCACCAAGCAAGGCAGGCUCUCCCACAGCCACCAUAGUGGUCUCUUCCUCAGUGGCUACUGCGGUACCCCCAGGACCAAUCAUGGCAGUAACCACAACAGCUCCAGCCAUAGUUGCAACCCUGGGGACAAUGACAAAGGACAGGUGAGUAAAUUGGCCAAAGAGGGUAAGGUGGAC
rnacentral:lncRNA from 1 species